rnacentral:tRNA from 1 species
ACUAAUUUAGUAUUUAAGUACAUUUGAUUUCCAUUCAGAAAGGCUCUUUAAGUAGAAAUUUUAUUAC